rnacentral:tRNA from 2 species
AGGCCAGUAGCUCAACUGGCAGAGCGUCGGUCUCCAAAACCGAAGGUUGGGGGUUCGAUUCCCUCCUGGCCUG